UGGCACCCUCUGUGAAUGCUACGAUGAGC
rnacentral:piRNA from 1 species